rfam:Musca domestica strain aabys unplaced genomic scaffold Scaffold19365, whole genome shotgun sequence.
UCCUCGAUAGUAUUGUGGUUAGUAUCCCCGCCUGUCACGCGGGAGACCGGGGUUCAAUUCCCCGUCGGGGAG